UACGGAGGGUGCAAGCGUUAAUCGGAAUUACUGGGCGUAAAGCGCGCGUAGGUGGUUUGAUAAGCGAGAUGUGAAAGCCCCGGGCUUAACCUGGGAACGGCAUUUCGAACUGUCAGGCUAGAGUAUGGUAGAGGAGUGUGGAAUUUCCUGUGUAGCGGUGAAAUGCGUAGAUAUAGGAAAGAACACCAGUGAGCGGCACUCUGGACCAAUACUGACACUGAGGUGCGAAAGCGUGGGGAGCAAACAGGAUUAGAUACCCCUAGUC
rnacentral:rRNA from 1 species